rnacentral:rRNA from 1 species
GAUGAACGCUGGCGGCGUGCCUAAUACAUGCAAGUCGAGCGAACGGACGAGAAGCUUGCUUCUCUGAUGUUAGCGGCGGACGGGUGAGUAACACGUGGAUAACCUACCUAUAAGACUGGGAUAAUUUCGGGAAACCGGAGCUAAUACCGGAUGAUAUUUUGAACCGCAUGGUUCAAAAGUGAAAGACGGUCUUGCUGUCACUUAUAGAUGGAUCCGCGCUGCAUUAGCUAGUUGGUAAGGUAACGGCUUACCAAGGCAACGAUGCAUAGCCGACCUGAGAGGGUGAUCGGCCACACUGGAACUGAGACACGGUCCAGACUCCUACGGGAGGCAGCAGUAGGGAAUCUUCCGCAAUGGGCGAAAGCCUGACGGAGCAACGCCGCGUGAGUGAUGAAGGUCUUCGGAUCGUAAAACUCUGUUAUUAGGGAAGAACAUAUGUGUAAGUAACUGUGCACAUCUUGACGGUACCUAAUCAGAAAGCCACGGCUAACUACGUG